rnacentral:ribozyme from 1 species
AGAAAUAUACUACAGCCAUAGCAGAAAUGUUCAUGUCGCGGUCCCUGUCAGAUUCCAACAAAUCUGCUAAAUUCUGCU